rnacentral:rRNA from 3 species
UGUGGUGGCGAUAGCCUGAAGGAUACACCUGUUCCCAUGCCGAACACAGAAGUUAAGCUUCAGCACGCCGAUAGUAGUUGGGGGAUCGCCCCCUGCGAGGAUAGGACGUUGCCACGCGA